AUCAGAAUGAUUUAAACGAAUUGCACUUACUGCCUUCUCCUCCAUCUCUUCCCAGUCUUCAUCACUCACUUUCUCCGAUUUCUUCGACUUCCCCAACAGGGUUUUCGCCAAACCCUGCUGUAUCAGAAGAUCCUUCAUCCUUUGUCGCCAGAGAGUGAAGUUGUUCUUAAUUUCCAUUGAACUUAUCGAUGUCGUACUUGACACUCAAUCCCUUCCCUGACAUCGUGAUAGUAAACCUCAGAAAAUAGAAAACUUGAAA